AACGAACGCUGGCGGCAGGCCUAACACAUGCAAGUCGAGCGAGACCUUCGGGUCUAGCGGCGGACGGGUAAGUAACGCGUGGGAACGUGCCCUUUUCUACGGAAUAUCCUCGGGAAACUGAGCGUAAUACCGUAUACGCCCUUUGGGGGAAAGAUUUAUCGGAGAAGGAUCGGCCCGCGUUGGAUUAGGUAGUUGGUGGGGUAAUGGCCUACCAAGCCUACGAUCCAUAGCUGGUUUGAGAGGAUGAUCAGCCACACUGGGACUGAGACACGGCCCAGACUCCUACGGGAGGCAGCAGUGGGGAAUCUUAGACAAUGGGGGCAACCCUGAUCGAGCCAUGCCGCGUGAGUGAUGAAGGCCUUAGGGUUGUAAAGCUCUUUCAGCUGGGAAGAUAAUGACGGUACCAGCAGAAGAAGCCCCGGCUAACUCCGUG
rnacentral:rRNA from 1 species